rnacentral:rRNA from 1 species
UACGAAGGGUGCAAGCGUUACUCGGAAUUACUGGGCGUAAAGCGUGCGUAGGUGGUUUGUUAAGUCUGAUGUGAAAGCCCUGGGCUCAACCUGGGAACGGCAUUGGAAACUGGCUUACUAGAGUGCGGUAGAGGGGUGUGGAAUUCCCGGUGUAGCAGUGAAAUGCGUAGAUAUCGGGAGGAACAUCUGUGGCGAAGGCGACACCCUGGACCAGCACUGACACUGAUGAACGAAAGCCAGGGGAGCAAACGGG